GGCUGUAGUAGGUCCCAAGGGUUGGGCUGUUCGCCCAUUAAAGUGGUACGCGAGCUGGGUUCAGAACGUCGUGAGACAGUUCGGUCCCUAUCCGUCGCAGGCAUAGGAAAUUUGAGAAGACCUGUCCUUAGUACGAGAGGACCGGGAUGGACGUACCUCUGGUGUACCAGUUGUCCUGCCAAGGGCAUGGCUGGGUAGCUAUGUA
rnacentral:rRNA from 1 species